CUUGUUUGUGAGUGCUGCACUAAGGUAGGCUCUUGCAUCUGCUAGCUUACGAGAAUCGCCUGAUUUGAUUCUUGAAACUGAUAUUCUUUGCAAGGCAGACAAUGUGAUUUGGUGGAGUUCUUGGCAAUCUUGGAUUGUACCUCUUUGUUUUUCAAUUAUAUCAUUUGACCCACCAGCACUCAAGAAUAGAUUGGUUAGCUUUUCGACUUCUGAUAUUGCAGUUUGGAGGGUGUGGAAGAGAUAACUGAUGAGG
rnacentral:misc_RNA from 1 species